ensembl:lncRNA
UGAAGCUCUUCUGUGGAGACCUUGAGUGUGGACUGUAGCUUGGUUUCAGUCGGUCGUAGUCUGGCCGUUUCUAGAUUUAAUUUAGAAGCCGUUGCAUCAGUGCUGGUUUGAGAAGUGUUAUUAGCUGUAGAGCGUUACUAUUGGCUGUGCUAUUAUUAGUUUUAGAGCUAUUCUAUUGGCUAUAAUAUUAGUUAGUAGUUUAAGGGUUAUACUCUCAGCUGUUCCAUUAGUUAGUAGUUUAAGGGUUCUACUAUUAACUGUACUGUCAGUUAGUAGUUAAAGGGUUCUACUCUCAGCUGUACCAUUGGUUAGUAGUUUAGUUAGUAGUUAAAGGGUUCUACUUUAAGCUGUCCUAUUAGUUAGAAGUUUUAGGGUUCUACUCUCAGCUGUUCCUUUGGUUAGUAGUUUUAAGGGUUCUACUGUUAGCAUUACUGUUGGUUAGUAGUUUAGUUGGUAGUUUUAAAGCUAUUAUAUAACCUGUUCCAUUAGUUAGUAGUUUAGUUAGUAGUUUGAGGGUUCUACUCUCAGCUGUUCCAUUGAUUAGUAGUUUAGUUAGUAGUUAAAGGGUUCUACUGUUAGCAUUACUGUUGGUUAGUAGUUUAGUUGGUAGUUUUAGAGCUAUUCUAUUACCUGUUCCAUUAGUUAGUAGUUUAAGGGUUGUGAUCAGCUGGUUCCAUGGACGGUUUGGACGCUGCCGUGUUUCUACAAACCUGGCAGCACUUUGACCCUGAAGAUAAAGGUUUCAUUGAAGACACGGAGCUGGACGGCUUCCUGCAGCACGCCUGGAAGACGACUGGGAAGCAGAGAGGAGAGGAGCCCGGGGAGGAGGAGAGGCGGGUGAGGAGCCUGCUGGGCCGCCUCCAGAGGGACCAGGUGA